rnacentral:rRNA from 1 species
AGAGUUAGAUCCUGGCUCAGGACGAACGCUGGCGGCACGCUUAACACAUGCAAGUCGAACGAGAGAAGAGGAGCUUGCUUUUCUGAUCUAGUGGCGGACGGGUGAGUAACACGUGAGCAAUCUGCCUUUCAGAGGGGGAUACCGAUUGGAAACGAUCGUUAAUACCGCAUAACAUAAUUGAACCGCAUGAUUUGAUUAUCAAAGAUUUAUCGCUGAAAGAUGAGCUUGCGUCUGAUUAGCUAGUUGGUAAGGUAACGGCUUACCAAGGCGACGAUCAGUAACCGGACUGAGAGGUUGAUCGGCCACAUUGGGACUGAGACACGGCCCAGACUCCUACGGGAGGCAGCAGUGGGGAAUAUUGCACAAUGGAGGAAACUCUGAUGCAGCGAUGCCGCGUGAGGGAAGAAGGUUUUAGGAUUGUAAACCUCUGUCUUCAGGGACGAAAAAAGACGGUACCUGAGGAGGAAGCUCCGGCUAACUACGUGCCAGCAGCCGCGGUAAUACGUAGGGAGCGAGCGUUGUCCGGAAUUACUGGGUGUAAAGGGAGCGUAGGCGGGAUCGCAAGUCAGAUGUGAAAACUAUGGGCUCAACCCAUAAACUGCAUUUGAAACUGUGGUUCUUGAGUGAAGUAGAGGUAAGCGGAAUUCCUAGUGUAGCGGUGAAAUGCGUAGAUAUUAGGAGGAACAUCAGUGGCGAAGGCGGCUUACUGGGCUUUAACUGACGCUGAGGCUCGAAAGCGUGGGGAGCAAACAGGAUUAGAUACCCUGGUAGUCCACGCCGUAAACGAUGAUUACUAGGUGUGGGGGGACUGACCCCUUCCGUGCCGCAGCAAACGCAAUAAGUAAUCCACCUGGGGAGUACGACCGCAAGGUUGAAACUCAAAGGAAUUGACGGGGGCCCGCACAAGCAGUGGAGUAUGUGGAUUAAUUCGAAGCAACGCGAAGAACCUUACCAGGUCUUGACAUCGUAUGCAUAGCUCAGAGAUGAGUGAAAUCUCUUCGGAGACAUAUAGACAGGUGGUGCAUGGUUGUCGUCAGCUCGUGUCGUGAGAUGUUGGGUUAAGUCCCGCAACGAGCGCAACCCUUACUGUUAGUUGCUACGCAAGAGCACUCUAGCAGGACUGCCGUUGACAAAACGGAGGAAGGUGGGGAUGACGUCAAAUCAUCAUGCCCCUUAUGACCUGGGCCUCACACGUACUACAAUGGCUGUCAACAGAGGGAAGCAAAGCCGCGAGGUGGAGCGAACCCCUAAAAGCAGUCUUAGUUCGGAUUGUAGGCUGCAACCCGCCUACAUGAAGUCGGAAUUGCUAGUAAUCGCAGAUCAGCAUGCUGCGGUGAAUACGUUCCCGGGCCUUGUACACACCGCCCGUCACGCCAUGGGAGUCGGUAACACCCGAAGCCUGUAGUCUAACCGCAAGGAGGACGCAGUCGAAGGUGGGAUUGAUGACUGGGGUGAAGUCGUAACAAGGUA